AAAAAAAAUACCGCCCCCUUUCGUCCGUAACAAAAUCUCUUCGUCUUUGGUCUUGAUCGGAAGUCGAGAAACAACCGCGACCAUGCCUUCCCACAAGACAUUCAAAAUCAAGCAGAAGCUUGCUAAGAAGCAAAAGCAGAAUCGCCCCAUCCCACAGUGGGUGCGUCUCAGGACAGGCAACAGGAUUCGCUACAACGCCAAGAGACGUCACUGGAAGCGAACGAAGCUGAACUUCUAGGAUGUUCUGAUCAACGGACUGUUCUUUCUCUUCACAUGGACAAACUCUAAGCAAGCAUCAGCCCAGACUCAGGGCAACCGUCACAUCUUGCUCAGAACAGAACAUCACAUGAGUACUCAUGAUGAGUUGAUGGAAAGCAUAGUUCACUAAAAUUCAAACUUUGCAGAUAAUAAUGAUCACUUUCGCAAGAUGGUGUUUAAAAGGCUCCUGGUUUUUCGCCACUCGGUCGUCGUCAUCAUCAUCACCGGAACCCUCCAGCUCUGGAAAUCUGGAUUUGAAUCAGGAAGUUUAUUUGAAGCCCGUCCUGCGUGACCUGGUCAUGUUUGUCAAUAAAUGUUUCUUCAUGUGAAGAGGAUAUCAAA